rnacentral:rRNA from 1 species
UCGAGCGGUAACAGAUCUAGCUUGCUACACGCUGACGAGCGGCGGACGGGUGAGUAAUGCAUAGGAAUCUGCCCGAUAGUGGGGGAUAACCUGGGGAAACCCAGGCUAAUACCGCAUACGUCCUACGGGAGAAAGGGGGCUUCGGCUCCCGCUAUUGGAUGAGCCUAUGUCGGAUUAGCUAGUUGGUAAGGUAAUGGCUUACCAAGGCAACGAUCCGUAGCUGGUCUGAGAGGAUGAUCAGCCACAUCGGGACUGAGACACGGCCCGAACUCCUACGGGAGGCAGCAGUGGGGAAUAUUGGACAAUGGGGGCAACCCUGAUCCAGCCAUGCCGCGUGUGUGAAGAAGGCCCUCGGGUUGUAAAGCACUUUCAGCGAGGAAGAACGCCUAUCGGUUAAUACCCGGUAGGAAAGACAUCACUCGCAGAAGAAGCACCGGCUAACUCCGUGCCAGCAGCCGCGGUAAUACGGAGGGUGCAAGCGUUAAUCGGAAUUACUGGGCGUAAAGCGCGCGUAGGUGGCUUGAUAAGCCGGUUGUGAAAGCCCCGGGCUCAACCUGGGAACGGCAUCCGGAACUGUCAGGCUAGAGUGCAGGAGAGGAAGGUAGAAUUCCCGGUGUAGCGGUGAAAUGCGUAGAGAUCGGGAGGAAUACCAGUGGCGAAGGCGGCCUUCUGGACUGACACUGACACUGAGGUGCGAAAGCGUGGGUAGCAAACAGGAUUAGAUACCCUGGUAGUCCACGCCGUAAACGAUGUCGACCAGCCGUUGGGUGCCUAGAGCACUUUGUGGCGAAGUUAACGCG